GUUUGAUCCUGGCUCAGGACGAACGCUGGCGGCGUGCUUAACACAUGCAAGUCGAACGAUGAUGCCCAGCUUGCUGGGCGGAUUAGUGGCGAACGGGUGAGUAAUACGUGAGUAACCUGCCCUUGACUCUGGGAUAAGCCUGGGAAACCGGAGCUAAUACUGGAUACUACCUCGCACCGCAUGGUGGGUGGUGGAAAGGGUUUUACUGGUUUUGGAUGGGCUCACGGCCUAUCAGCUUGUUGGUGGGGUAAUGGCUCACCAAGGCGACGACGGGUAGCCGGCCUGAGAGGGUGACCGGCCACACUGGGACUGAGACACGGCCCAGACUCCUACGGGAGGCAGCAGUGGGGAAUAUUGCACAAUGGGCGGAAGCCUGAUGCAGCGACGCCGCGUGAGGGAUGACGGCCUUCGGGUUGUAAACCUCUUUCAGUAGGGAAGAAGCGAGAGUGACGGUACCUGCAGAAGAAGCGCCGGCUAACUACGUGCCAGCAGCCGCGGUAAUACGUAGGGCGCAAGCGUUGUCCGGAAUUAUUGGGCGUAAAGAGCUCGUAGGCGGUUUGUCGCGUCUGCUGUGAAAGCCCGGGGCUCAACCCCGGGUCUGCAGUGGGUACGGGCAGACUAGAGUGCAGUAGGGGAGACUGGAAUUCCUGGUGUAGCGGUGAAAUGCGCAGAUAUCAGGAGGAACACCGAUGGCGAAGGCAGGUCUCUGGGCUGUUACUGACGCUGAGGAGCGAAAGCAUGGGGAGCGAACAGGAUUAGAUACCCUGGUAGUCCAUGCCGUAAACGUUGGGCACUAGGUGUGGGGGACAUUCCACGUUUUCCGCGCCGUAGCUAACGCAUUAAGUGCCCCGCCUGGGGAGUACGGCCGCAAGGCUAAAACUCAAAGGAAUUGACG
rnacentral:rRNA from 1 species